rnacentral:rRNA from 1 species
UACGGGGGGGGCAAGCGUUGUUCGGAAUUACUGGGCGUAAAGGGCCAGUAGGCGGCCAACUAAGUCGGGUGUGAAAUCCCCAGGCUUAACCUGGGAACUGCAUUCGAGACUGCAUUGCUAGAGUAUGGGAGAGGGAAGUGGAAUUUCCGGUGUAGCGGUGAAAUGCGUAGAUAUCGGAAGGAACAUCAGUGGCGAAAGCGACUUCCUGGACCAAUACUGACGCUCAUGUGCGAAAGCGUGGGGAGCAAACAGG